rnacentral:rRNA from 1 species
CCCCUAGAUGUCCUGGGCCGCACGCGCAAUACAAUGUAAAGUUCAGAAAGCAUAUCCUGUUCCGGAAGGCAAUGGGUAAUCUUUUCAAUAUUUUACGUGUUAGGGAUCGAUCUUUGCAAUUAUAGAUCUUGAACGAGGAAUACCUAGUAAGUGCAGCUCAUCAGGCUGUACUGAUUACGUCCCUGCCCUUUGUACACACCGCCCGUCGCUCCUACCGAUUUCGAGUGGUCCGGUAAAUCUUUUGGAAUUAGAGUGCAAACUCAAACUAAGAUCGAUAAACCUUAUCACUUAGAGGAAGGAGAAGUCGUAACA